ACGUUAUUAGUAUAAUUAAAUAUUUUACUUUUCCAAAGUAAGGAUCUAAGUUUUAUUAGCUAACGUA
rnacentral:tRNA from 1 species